rnacentral:rRNA from 1 species
GUUGAACGCUGGCGGCGUGCCUAAUACAUGCAAGUCGAGCGAAAAGACGAGUGGCUUCCUCUUCUGACGUUAGCGGCGGACGGGUGAAUAACACGUGGAUAAGCUACGUAGAGGGCUGUAGUACGGUCGGGAAAGCGUAGCUAAUACAUGCUAUUAUAUGAUGCAGGAUGGUUCACUAGUGAAAUACGGUUUUGCUGUCACUUGUUGGUUGAUCCGCGCCGCAUUAGCUAGUUGGUAAGGUAACGGCUUACCAAGGCGACGAUCAGUAGCCGACCUGAGAGGGCGAUCAGCCACACUGGAACUGAGACACGGCCCAGACUCCUACGGGAGGCAGCAGUAGGGAAUUUUGCGCAAUGGGCGAAAGCCUGACCGAGCAACGCCGCGUGAGUGAUGAAGGUCUUCGGAUCGUAAAACACUGUUAUUCGGGAAGAACACAUGUGUACGAAAAUAUGCACGUGUUGACGGUACCUAAUGAGAAAGCCACGGCUAACUACGUG